AAUAUGUCGGCGCAUCUCGCUUAGUAAUUUGGAUUGGAGAAAGUUCACACUCAAGAUUAAGAUUAAACAUCACUGCCAAAGUGACUAAUGGUAUGGUUUUUUUUAUUGGCCAUGUGUUUCUUUCAGUUUGUUGCACGAAGAAAAAAGAAAUAGACCUAGCAAGUGUAUUGUUAUGGUAUGUUCUUUAAAGAUAGAUAUAAAUAGCGUACAUUUUAAAAUAAUAAACGUAUUCUGCAUCUAUAUUGUUUAUUUAUUUUUUUAAAAUAGCUGUAACUACCAUUAAAAUAUACAUUCUAAAAUAAAAAAAUAAGAAAUAUUAAUAAAUGUAUUCUUCAUACCAAAUUUGUGCUGAAUUUUUGAAAUCUAAUCUAAAAUAGAUAUUAUGUAUUUACUUAACAAUAUAAUUUCAAACUGUUAUUUAAAAUAUAUAUUAUGUAUUAUUUAAUUAUAAAUUACUGAAAUUGUUAAUAAAUGGUUUAUGAUAUAACCCACUGAAAAUAUGGAAGAUAUAUAUUUGUCAUUAUUAUUAUAGGGGAAGUUGUUGCAAUCUCGUCCAGAAACAAAAAUUUCAUAUUUAGUUAGAAUUUACUAAAGUUGAAGGUUGUUUUCAAAUGUGUGAUAUAUAUCCUACCUUUGAAUCCAUUAAAAUACUUUGAAUCUACAAAUUAUCUUAAAAUAAAAGGUAGAGUCGAGAUUAAUAUAAUUAAACCAUGCCUAUGACAAGUUGUUCUUGGAACUACACUCUAUUUUUUACUAUAUGAACUACACUAUAAUCAAGAGCAUAUCCCAACUUAUUCCAUAUAAUAAGGAUAUUUUUAAUAAUCACUAAAAGAAAUUCGGGUUUUUUUUCACACAAAACUGCAUUAGAAAUUAGGAUGUCGGUAGAGGUCUUUUCCUCCGACGCACAAACCAUAACGCCGAGGGAGGGGACGUAUGCCGAGCACCCAUGUGGACGUUGGGAAUGCCGCAAGUACUUUCCACGUGCUAAAAUAAACGUUGGGAAAACAAAAAGAAAACUCGACGUGUACAGUGUUGCGUCAGAGAUUCCUAGAGAUAAGUCGACCUCAACCGUCAUGUGUCGGAAAAGGUCGAAUAAUUAAAUUGUACCAUUUGCCUUCUUCUGAUGCAAUGUCAGAGACGUCGGGAACAGUAUGACCAUUCCCAAUGCCAUUAGUCACGGCGUCGGCAAUGGUCAUACUUUUUUCAACGUUUUUGGUCUGUGUCGGAAGGUCCUUUGUCUUAAAAUCCAUUGCAUUUUGUGAUUUACAGAAUUGAAAGAGAAAGGAAGAGAAACCAAGAAGUUCUUUCGGUCAGUUUCUGUCGUUUGUCGUCGUCUUCCACCGCUCGCCUUCAUAUUUCGGUAAGUAUUAGUUUGAUAUUAGUUUAUUUUAUUUAUAUUUGAAUUGGAUUUAAGGAAUAAGAUUUUUGAAUUAGUUUUUAGUAUUUAGAUCUGAAUUUGAAUUAUGUCUUAGGAAUAAGAUUUUGAAUUAGAUUUUGGUAUUUGAAUUUUAAUUGUUUUUUAGAUUUAGGAAUUAAUAUAUAUAUUUAAGGGGGUUGAAUUGAAAUUUUGAAAGAGGGAGGGGUUGAAUCAAUUGAAAUGAAACUGUGGAGGUUGAAUUGAAAACAGAAGGGGGUUUAAUUGAAAAUUACAGAGGGAAGUUGAAUAGAAAAUUAAAUUGGAAAUGUUCGCAGUUCUUCGACCACAUCUUCACACUCUACGACAAUCGAACAAGCUAAUACAAUUUUCAUUGAGAAAGACUCGAGCUUUAAGAAGUUAAGCGCAUGAUUGAAGAGCAGAGAAGAAUGUCCGAGCUGUAGGCCCAACAAAUGGAAGAAAUGAAGAAGAUGAUUGAAGAAAUGACUCGGGCACAGAGAGGACCGUGAGUCGAGAACUUGCGGUAGGUAUUUUUUAACUUUAAUGUUGUUUACUUCAUAUUAUUAUUGAUAUUAGCAUUAUAUAUAUCUAAUUUACUUUUUUUUUUUCGUUGACCUGUUGAAUUAUGGCGUCCGCGAAAAAAUUUACCUUAAAUUUUUUUCAUGUAAUUUUAUCUUAACAAAUUUGAAUGUACGACAAUGAAACGUUUAUUUA
rnacentral:lncRNA from 1 species